rnacentral:rRNA from 1 species
UACGUAGGCAGCAAGCGUUGUUCGGAAUUACUGGGCGUAAAGAGUGUGUAGGCGGUGCUCUAAGUUUGGUGUGAAAUCUCCCGGCUCAACUGGGAGGGUGCGCCGAAAACUGGAAUGCUUGAACGUGGGAGAGGAAAGCGGAAUUCCUGGUGUAGCGGUGAAAUGCGUAGAUAUCAGGAGGAACACCUGCGGUGUAGACGGCUUUCUGGACCAUUGUUGACGCUGAUACACGAAAGCGUGGGUAGCAAACAGG